UAGUUUUGCCCUAACGACAACUUCUCUAACUGUGCCCAAAAAUUUAGAAAAAAUAUUAACAUCUACAAGUUCAAAUAAAUGCACUACCAUAUUUCAUGGAGAAUUUAAUUAAACUUAUUUGAUGUUGUAGAUGUCGGUGCAUUUUCUAUGAGCUUGGUCAAAUGCAGAGAAGUUUGACAUAGGACAAAGCUAAA
rnacentral:pre_miRNA from 1 species